GCGAGCUUUAUCAUCUCAAAAGAAGAAGAAAAAGUGCUGUGAUUGAUUAAGUUUUGGCAAAGAAACCGAGACAAGGUUGUUUAAUUACUUUGGCCUUUUGGAAUGAUGACUACUGGCUCGCACUCCCCCUCUGCAUAGUCCUUCGCAUCUACGCAUCCUUUUCCCUUCAGAAACUUUGUCACUUCGAUCUUUGGUGUUGGCUUUCCUAUGUCCUCGUAGUACUGGAAAAUCCAUAAUGGCGGGUUAGAAGAAGUAGAAAAAACUAGCAUCAACGUAGUGGAUUAUGAAGAUAAUUUUUAUGAAAAUUUUACCCUGGCAAUGUCCAUCCAUCUCUCUGAUGAGCAAUCUGAUCCAUCUAAAGAAUUGAUACCUCCUGCCUAUCUGUCUCAGUCUCCAAUUUUCAUCCAAAUGGUCUAAUUGGGUGCAGUAAAAUUCUACUUCUCCUGCCCAUGGCACAUCAAUUGUGGCCUUCAGUACAUUCCUGCAUUAAACACAAGAGAGAAGUAAUUCAUCUGUUUCAAGCUAUGACAACACGUCCUAGAACAUUCAGGCAGAGGAGCUUUUCACUCGGCCCAGGUUUCCCAAUGAAAUCACCUACGAAAUGAGAAUUUCAACGCGCUAGUUAUUAAUGCAUUUCUGACCGAGGUUCCAGACGAGUAAGCAGUAGAGAGCUCACAAGCUCUGGUCCACUUUUCCAAUAUCAGGAUGCAGGAGUUGACCUUUAUUUACACUUCUAUCAAUGAUGCUUAUUGUACAGCAGUUGUUUCAUUCAUCGUAAAUUUACAAGGGAGUAAUGUCGGCGAAAUGUGCUCUUGGAAAGCAGCUGCUUCUGUUGAAGCCUGUUUCACACUGCAACCUGUGCAGCUGCUAGCCUUGCAAUGGGGACCCUGUCGAAGUGAAAUGGAGUCAGAAAUUUGGUUUAUUUUGAUGGUAGUUUGGACUAUUUGGAAAUGUAUAGUCUUUGAACCUGAAUGGAGAGCAUGAAACAUAGUCUAGUCCUGCCUCCGCGAAGAAUGCCACAGAAGAAGGCUCCCCUCCAUGCUCUCCACAUAUUCCAACCUGUUCAUCAAUUGUCAAGGAAAAAACAAGUCAAAUAUGAUUCUGCCAUA